rnacentral:rRNA from 1 species
GGAUGAACGCUGGCGGCGUGCCUAAUACAUGCAAGUCGAGCGAACGGACGAGAAGCUUGCUUUUCUGAUGUUAGCGGCGGACGGGUGAGUAACACGUGGAUAACCUACCUAUAAGACUGGGAUAACUUCGGGAAACCGGAGCUAAUACCGGAUAAUAUUUUGAACCGCAUGGUUCAAAAGUGAAAGACGGUCUUGCUGUCACUUAUAGAUGUAUCCGCGCUGCAUUAGCUAGUUGGUAAGGUAACGGCUUACCAAGGCAACGAUGCAUAGCCGACCUGAGAGGGUGAUCGGCCACACUGGAACUGAGACACGGUCCAGACUCCUACGGGAGGCAGCAGUAGGGAAUCUUCCGCAAUGGGCGAAAGCCUGACGGAGCAACGCCGCGUGAGUGAUGAAGGUCUUCGGAUCGUAAAACUCUGUUAUUAGGGAAGAACAUAUGUGUAAGUAACUGUGCACAUCUUGACGGUACCUAAUCAGAAAGCCACGGCUAACUACGUG